GAUGAAGAACGUAGCGAAAUGCGAUAAGUAGUGUGAAUUGCAGAAUUCAGUGAAUCAUCGAAUCUUUGAACGCACAUUGCGCCCCUUGGUAUCCCGAGGGGCAUGCCUGUUCGAGCGUCAUUUCACCACUCAAGCCUGGCUUGGUGUUGGGCGACGUCCUCUUUGGGGACGCGCCUCGAAACGCUCGGCGGCGUGGCACCGGCUUUAAGCGUAGCAGAAUCUUUCGCUUUGGAAGUCGGGGCCCCGUCUGCCGGAAGACCUGCUCGCAAGGUUGACCUCGGAUCAGGCAGGGAUACCCGCUGAACUUAAGCAUAUCAAGCGGAGGA
rnacentral:misc_RNA from 1 species